rnacentral:rRNA from 1 species
UUUAAUUGAGUGCUAAGAGAAUGGAAAUACAGAAAAAUUCUUUCUUGAAUUCAAAAAUUGAAGUUAUUUUUAUAUGUGAAGAAACAAUAAUGAAAAUUAUUGACAAGAAGACCCUAAGAAUUUUUUUAAUUUAAUUAAAAAAUUUUUUAAUUAAAUUCUUUAAUUGGGGCGAUUAAUAAAAAUUAAAAACUUUGUUUUUUUAAAAAAGAACCAAUAAUAUUGGAAAUAUGAUAAAAAUACUCUAGGGAUAACAGCGUAAUAACUUUAGAUAGUUCAUAUAGACAAAGUAGUUUGCGACCUCGAUGUUGGAUUAGGAU